rnacentral:rRNA from 1 species
AACGAACGCUGGCGGCGUGCCUGACACAUGCAAGUCGCACGAGAAAGUCUUCGGAUGAGUACAGUGGCGCACGGGUGAGUAAUACGUAGGAACGUACCAUUAAGUGGGGGAUAACCACGGGAAACUGUGGCUAAUACCGCAUACUGUCGUGAGAAGAAAGGUGGCCGCUAUUUAUAAGCUAUUGCUUAAUGCGCGGCCUACGUCCCAUUAGCUAGUUGGCGGGGUAAAAGCCCACCAAGGCGACGAUGGGUAGCUGGUCUGAGAGGAUGAUCAGCCACACUGGAACUGAGACACGGUCCAGACUCCUACGGGAGGCAGCAGUGGGGAAUCUUGCACAAUGGGCGAAAGCCUGAUGCAGCAACGCCGCGUGGGUGAAGAAGGCCUUUGGGUCGUAAAGCUCUUUCGGCCAAGAAGAAGGGCCCAUACGCUAAUAUCUUAUGGGUUUGACGGUAUUGGAAGAAGAAGCACCGGCUAACUUCGUGCCAGCAGCCGCGGUAA